ensembl:lncRNA
CGCCUCUGUAACAGGCUGAGAAAAGCCAUGUAAGAAGGUUCAUGUACUUUAAAAGGCAGGUUCUUUAGCCUCAGAGCCUGUUGUUUUUGUUGGUUAGUUAAGUCCAAAAAUCUCUUUAAGGAUAGGGUAGGGCUUUUCCCACUUAACAUCUGGACUAUAUCCCUUCCCCAGCAAACACUUGGCACUGAGGAGUUCAAUAAAGGUUCAGUCAAGUGAUGAUGAAUCCCACUCUGGUAGCUUUCAUCAGCUUUGAGAGAGAGCCAAAGGAGGUGUCCUGUCUUAACUCCCACUCUCCUUCCAGCUAUAUUGGGCCAGCUAUUUAUCCUAAUGUUUUAUCUUAAAGGAUGGGAAAGGCAGCCUUUGCUACACUUCUGGUUUCCUGUGCCAGUGCCAUAGGCCCAUAGACUGAUUUUACAGAAGGCAUCUUGAGAGGUUAAAGUGGAAACAUCCCACGGUCCACCAACAGAAGAAGGUGGUGGUGCUCAAUCGUGUCUGACUCUUUGCACCCCUAUGGACUGUAGCCCACCAGGCUCCUCUGUCCAUGGGAUUCUCCAGGGUAUCUUCCCAACCCAGGGAUCAAACCCCCGUCUCUUGACUUCUGCAUUGACAGGUGGGUUCUUUACCACUAGUGCCUCCUGGGAACCCCAUUUAAACAAUACUAUUUCACUUAAUCCUCC